rnacentral:tRNA from 1 species
AUUUAUAUAAUAUAAAAAUUAUAUUUGACUUCCAAUCAAAAAAUCUAAGAAUUAGUAUAAAUA